rnacentral:lncRNA from 1 species
UCCCUCUCUCUCCCUCUCCUCUGUCUCUCUCUGUCUCUGUCUCUGUCUCUCUCUCUCUCUGCUGGACUUGGGGCCUGGGCUCUUUCUCUUCAGCUUUGGCUUCUUAACCUGAGAGGUGGGCAGCCUCCUGCCCCAGGCGGAGCCGGGCCUACCUGGGGGCCACCCCUGCCUACGGGCAAGAGGGGCUCCCGGGCUCCCACGCUGGCACCAGGUGGGAAGGGGACCCCCAUGGGCUCUGCUGGGUCUUUCAAUCUAAGAGAAAAGCAUCGNGGCGCGCGGCUCCCGAGGGCUUCCUGGUGGGGGCGGCCCUGUCCUCCUCCCCGGCGCGGGGCGGGCUCGGAGCUCCUCGGGAGGCCACAGGCCGGAUUCCCCGGACCCUGUCUACACCCGCCAAAGCGGCUGUGGAGCUUAGCCUUGCCUGAGAAUUUUUGUUUGAAACCUGCCAACGGCCUUUAUCUCUGCGGAUCUGCNGAUUUGGGGCCUGUGGAGCCAUCUCUGGUCCCAAGCACCCUGCCCUCCCGCCCGGAGACGGAGCAGUGCAAAGCAAGCCAGUUAGCGAGCAGCUUCCCUGGGAGCUUCACCCCGGUCUCUGAUGGCUGCCGGUCCCGGGCCAGGAGGUCCGGUGAGACGGGGGCCGCCGGCGGUCAUCCAGGAGAGUCCGUCACACUGGCCUCUUCCGUCCGCAUUCGGGGCGUCUCCGGGUACCUGCGCACAGGUGACCGCGGCCACAAGGGAAUAUAG